rnacentral:rRNA from 1 species
UACGAAGGGGGCUAGCGUUGUUCGGAAUCACUGGGCGUAAAGCGCACGUAGGCGGAUCUUUAAGUCAGAGGUGAAAUCCCAAGGCUCAACCUUGGAACUGCCUUUGAUACUGGGGAUCUUGAGUCCGGGAGAGGUGAGUGGAACUGCGAGUGUAGAGGUGAAAUUCGUAGAUAUUCGGAAGAACACCAGUGGCGAAGGCGACUCACUGGACAUGUAUUGACGCUGAGGUGCGAAAGCGUGGGGAGCAAACAGG